rfam:Rhizobium sp. Root564 contig_5, whole genome shotgun sequence.
AAGCAUCGAAGCGACGCACUCCUCCUCCCAGCGUCGCCCGAUUGGACUGACAGCACUCCUCCUCCCAGUUGUCAGUCAGUUUUAAAAACCCGGCGCACCUCCUCCCGCGCCGGGUUUUUUAU